GAUGAACGCUGGCGGCGUGCCUAAUACAUGCAAGUCGAGCGAACAGACGAGGAGCUUGCUCCUCUGACGUUAGCGGCGGACGGGUGAGUAACACGUGGAUAACCUACCUAUAAGACUGGGAUAACUUCGGGAAACCGGAGCUAAUACCGGAUAAUAUAUUGAACCGCAUGGUUCAACAGUGAAAGACGGUUUUGCUGUCACUUAUAGAUGGAUCCGCGCCGCAUUAGCUAGUUGGUAAGGUAACGGCUUACCAAGGCAACGAUGCGUAGCCGACCUGAGAGGGUGAUCGGCCACACUGGAACUGAGACACGGUCCAGACUCCUACGGGAGGCAGCAGUAGGGAAUCUUCCGCAAUGGGCGAAAGCCUGACGGAGCAACGCCGCGUGAGUGAAGAAGGUCUUCGGAUCGUAAAACUCUGUUAUUAGGGAAGAACAAAUGUGUAAGUAACUAUGCACGUCUUGACGGUACCUAAUCAGAAAGCCACGGCUAACUACGUG
rnacentral:rRNA from 1 species